GGGCACUCUUCCGUGGUCUGGUGGAUAAAUUCGCAAGGGUAUCAUGGCGGACGACCGGGGUUCGAACCCCGGAUCCGGCCGUCCGCCGUGAUCCAUGCGGUUACCGCCCGCGUGUCGAACCCAGGUGUGCGACGUCAGACAACGGGGGAGCGCUCCUUUUGGCUUCCUUCCAGGCGCGGCGGCUGCUGCGCUAGCUUUUUUGGCC
rnacentral:misc_RNA from 1 species